rnacentral:rRNA from 1 species
GGAUGCGAUAAUACCAGCACUAAAGCACCGGAUACCAUCAGAACUCCGAAGUUAAGCGUGCUUGGGCGAGAGUAGUACUAGGAUGGGUGACCUCCUGGGAAGUCCUCGUGUUGCAUUCC